rnacentral:rRNA from 1 species
GACGAACGCUGGCGGCGUGCUUAACACAUGCAAGUCGAACGGAAAGGCCCGGCUUUUGCGGGGUUAGUGUUUGGCGAGCGCGUGAGACGCACGCGAGUAGCCCGCACCUCUCGGAUAGCUAAAAUCAAGUGACUCUGGCUCCUACCAUGUAUGAUCUCCUGAUGCACGGGGGGGGGAAGUAAGUGUCGGCGGUUGGGGAUGGCCUCGCGGCUUAUCAGCUUGUUGGUGGGGUAGUGGCGUACCAGGGCUACGACGGGUAGCCGGCCUGGGAGGGUGACCGGCCACAUUGGGACUGAGACACGGCCCAGACUCCUACGGGAGGCAGCAGUGGGGAAUAUUGCGCAAUGGGCGGAAGCCUGAUGCAGCGACGCCGCGUGCGGGAUGACGGCCUUCGGGUUGUAAACCUCUUUCGACGGUGACGAAGCGAGAGUGACGGUACCGGGUAAAGAAGCACCGGCUAACUACGUG